CAUACAGGCAUACGGCUCAGUAACGCGUAGUCAACCUAACCUAUGGACGGGAAUAACCUCGGGAAACUGAGAAUAAUGCCCGAUAGAACAUUAUGCCUGGAAUGGUUUAUGUUCCAAAUGAUUUAUCGCCGUAGGAUGGGACUGCGGCCUAUCAGUUUGUUGGUGAGGUAAUGGCCCACCAAGACUAUUACAGGUACGGGCUCUGAGAGGAGUAGCCCGGAGAUGGGUACUGAGACACGGACCCAGGCCCUAUGGGGCGCAGCAGGCGAGAAAACUUUGCAAUGUGCGAAAGCACGACAAGGUUAAUCCGAGUGGUUUCUGCUAAAGAAACCUUUUGUCAGUCCUAGAAACACUGAUGAAUAAGGGGUGGGCAAGUUCUGGUGUCAGCCGCCGCGGUAAAACCAGCACCUCAAGUGGUCAGGAUGAUUAUUGGGCCUAAAGCAUCCGUAGCCGGCUCUGUAAGUUUUCGGUUAAAUCUGUACGCUCAACGUACAGGCUGCCGGGAAUACUGCAGAGCUAGGGAGUGGGAGAGGUAGACGGUACUCGGUAGGAAGGGGUAAAAUCCUUUGAUCUAUUGAUGACCACCUGUGGCGAAGGCGGUCUACCAGAACACGUCCGACGGUGAGGGAUGAAAGCUGGGGGAGCAAACCGGAUUAGAUACCCGGGUAGUCCCAGCUGUAAACUAUGCAAACUCAGUGAUGCAUUGGCUUGUGGCCAAUGCAGUGCUGCAGGGAAGCCGCUAAGUUUGCCGCCUGGGAAGUACGUACGCAAGUAUGAAACUUAAAGGAAUUGGCGGGGGAGCACCACAAGGGGUGAAGCCUGCGGUUCAAUUGGAGUCAACGCCGGG
rnacentral:rRNA from 1 species